GUCCGGGUAGCUCAGCUUGGAUAGAGCACAGCGGUCCUAACGCUGGGGUCGAGGGUUCAAAUCCCUUUCCGGACG
rnacentral:tRNA from 1 species